CCCCCGAUAGCUCAGUUGGAAGAGCGCGAGACUGUAAAUCUUGAGGUCGCUGGUUUGAUCCCGGCUCGGGGGA
rnacentral:tRNA from 1 species